rnacentral:rRNA from 1 species
GCAAGUCGAACGGUAACAGAAAGAAGCUUGCUUCUUUGCUGACGAGUGUCGGACGGGUGAGUAAUACUUAGGAACAUUCCUUUGUGUGGGGGAUAACUAUUGGAAACGAUAGCUAAUACCGCAUAAUGUCUACGGACCAAAGGGGGCUUUUAGCUCCCGCGCAGAGAGUGGCCUAAGCGAGAUUAGCUAGUUGGUGUGGUAAAGGCUCACCAAGGCGACGAUCUCUAGCUGUUCUGAGAGGAAGAGC